UGCGUAGGCGGGCUAAUAAGUCAGUGGUGAAAUCUCUCGGCUCAACCGGGAAACUGCCAUUGAUACUGUUAGUCUUGAGUUCGGUUGAGGUAGGCGGAAUGUGUAAUGUAGCGGUGAGAUGCUUAGAUAUUACACAGAACACCAAUUGCGUAGGCAGCUUACUAGACCGACACUGACGCUGAGGCACGAAAGCGUGGGGAGCGAACAGGAUUAGAUACCCUGGUAGUC
rnacentral:rRNA from 1 species